rnacentral:lncRNA from 1 species
CUUUAUUCAUUAGUUGCUGGCUUAUUUAUAAUAGCAAGUUACAAUACGAAGUAGUAGUUGAAUCAAACUAAACAACCUCAGCAAAGAAUUAUCACAAGCUACAAUAUGAAAUAGCAGUUGAAUCAAACUAAACAACCUCUGGCAAGUUCUUGCACGUGCAUGGAAGCAUGCAUGUAUCAUGCAUGACCAGCAUGGAGACAAACUCGUUAUCAUGGAACUUGGCAUUAGGCUUUGGCUUCCUUAGGGAUCUUCUCUUAUCAAUACCCCCACCGCGAAAAAGAUCAUUGUCCUCAAGGGUCAAGGAAGGAAAUUGUUCUCUGCUCCUCUAUUGAACUUUCAUCAUACGUAGCUUCUUCCAUCUUGCUUUCACUGUCAAAAAUCAAAAGUUGCGCCUUGCUACACUUAUGCCCGGCUGUAAAUCUCUCAUUGCAGUUGAAGCAUAGCCCUUGUGCGCGGCGUCGUUGCAUCUCCUCCCAUGAAAGUCGUUUGAUGGGUGUUGCUGGUGGCGUUUGGGUGAUGGUCAGCUGUGCACGGUUGCUGGUUGGUGAUUGGAACAAUUUUCGCUGCCUAGACAGCUGCUCAUCCUUCAUUCGUACUAGGCUUAUUGCUUCCUUCAAUGUACGAGGUCUGAACAUUCGGAUCUCCUCCGAAAUUUCAGAUUUCAGUCCCCCCAUAAAGGUACCCACCAGCGCCUUCUGUGUCCACCUUUGAACACGGUUACCUAACUUUUCAAAUUCUUUCUGAUACUCACGUAAUGUUCCUAUUUGUUUGACCCGUGACAGUGCUUCAUCGAAAUCUUCACAGUCCGUUGGUCCGAAGCGUGCCCAAAGUUCCUCUACGAACGUCUCCCAUGUCACAAUUCUGCCCUCUUCUUGGUAAGUUCGGCGUAGCCACCGCCACCAUUGAUUGGCCUCUCCUCCUAGAUGAAAAGACGCCAAAGCUACCUUCUGUUCAUUGGUCGUUUCCUGAUACUCAAAGAAUUGUGUUGUUCGGUUGAACCACUCUGUUGGAUCGUCGUCGAAGUAACGAGGGAAUUCCAGUUUUGCUAUCCUUGGUGGUAUUGGUGGCUGUCCCCCUUCACUUUCUUCUUGAAUUGGCCUUGCUGUAGAACUAGCGUUCCCUUGACUUGUUGCUCCCCUACUAGCACUAAAGGACUCGGCUAACUUACUGAUGGUGUCUUCCAUUCAUUGAAGCUUAUCAUUGAUUCCGAAUUCCAUCUGUGAUAUUCUGUCCUGCAAGCUUUCCAAGUCAGCUUCAAUUCUCUCAAUACGUUCUUUGUUGGUGGUCAUCGUUAACCUUGCUCUGAUACCACUUGAUGCGGUCCCAAUCAAAACAAUGUAUCAAUGACGAAAUAAGUUCUGCUUAUGGUGAGAACAACCAGAAUGUUUAAAGAAUUUUCUUUUUUUUUUUUGCUUCCCUUUAUUCAUUAGUUGCUGGCUUAUUUAUAAGGAGCCGGCUAAGUUAUGUUAAACGUAACUUACGCCAGGUACAACAACAGUGACAAGUCCCAUCACUAGCACUGUUGCUGUAUCUGGCGUAAGUUACGUUUAACGUAACUUAGCCAAAGCCUAUUUAUAAUAGCAAGUUACAAUACGAAGUAGUAGUUGAAUCAAACUAAACAACCUCAGCAAAGAGUUAUCACAAGCUACAAUAUGAAAUAGCAGUUGAAUCAAACUAAACAACCUCAGCAAAGAGUUAUCACAAGCUACAAUAUGAAAUAGCAGUUGAAUCAAACUAAACAACCUCUGGCAAGUUCUUGCACGUGCAUGGAAGCAUGCAUGUAUCAUGCAUGACCAGCAUGGAGACAAACUCGUUAUCAUGGAACUUGGCAUUAGGCUUUGGCUUCCUUAGGGAUCUUCUCUUAUCAAUUGCCAUCUUUACUAUAAGCAUCCAUGAUGAAGCAUGAUUUGUCUGGGUCCUCAUUAUUUUUUGAUAGUAUAUAUGUAGUGUAAGAGAUGCAUGGCUUUCGUAUAAAUCAAGAGUUGAUCUUUACUUCUCUUGGAUGUAUUCUUUCGAAUUUGAAUAUCAUAAUUCAUCUAAUUAGAGCUUCUACAUUUUCUAAUAUUUUGAGAACAUGAAGCCACAUAUAUAAGUGAUAUUUUUUGAAAAAUAAACAAAAAUGGUGUCAAGUUGCACGAGGUAACGUAGUCUUGUUGUCUGAAGAAUUAAAGUGAGACAUUUCCUCAAACAUAUCUGGCAGUUUAUUUGUAACUAGGUUAAUUAUCAAUAAAUAACAUGAUAUAGUCAUCAGAGAAAGCUAUAAUAUUGGCUUACAGAAAAAUUGUCAUAUCAGUUGUGACUCAACUGUUAGAUCUCUAAUAUUAUUGAAUAGAUAAUGGACUGAAACUGCUACCAGAAAUAUAUCAUUGAACAACUGAAGCAGACAAUGGAACCACACAUAAAUCACAUAAUAAUAGAUGGGCAACAAACAGCAGCAUUAACUAUUUAAUAAUUAAUUUUUCAGGAAUAAUGUAUAAAUAAAUUUUAUAACUUAGCCCGGAUCUCGAUCUGCCUCCCAGUGUCAGUGGAGAAGAGGCUAAAGAUGACACUGUGGGUAGCCCUUACCUUGAAUAGUACAAUACUUUCGAAGAGUAUCUAGCUUCUUUAAUUUAUUGAAUCCAGCAUUAUGCAGAGAUUUAUGUGAGGCCACGCUAUCAACUUCUGACAAAGUCUCAAGUCUCUCCAAAUGUGGCAACUUAUCAAAUAUGAUAUUAGCCACUACUUACACAGCACUUGUUGCAAGCCCUUUGCCCCAGAAGCUUGGAAGCACAGCACAAUUGUUUUGCAGCUCUGCACCUAUUAGAGUCGCCGUGAUACAAAAAUUGUACAAAUUGGCUUGUUAUUGAGGGAUAUUGCUUUGAACCUCGGAUGCGGGCCAUGCGGCAUAAGUGCGUUCUCGAAAAAGUUCAGUAGUUCACGAUGACAUUGACAUAUUCUAAAUCCAAAUUGAAAUUCCGAAUCAGGCUAUCAUGAAUUAGCCAAAAACAAGCAACUCUUGCCUCUGAAACAUCGAAAGGCCUCAGCUUGAGAAUGAUAUUACCCCAUUGCUAAUGUUAAAUGCGGACCGCCACCUAGUUUUUAGUUUUUACUCAAUGGUAAAAGUUCUUAGCACCAUUGAUAUGACACAAACCCACACUAUAAAAACUGUUAUUGGGUCAACUUUUAUCAGGUUGUGUCGUUUAUGAGUCAAUUCAUUAAAGAGUGGAGCUAUUGGCACCCCUACAUUAUUCUUACAAGACCCCCCUUUAAAUAAAAUUAUAAUUAAAGACAAUUGAAAAUUAAACAC